CAAUAGCGUAUAUUGAAGUUGUUGCAGUUAAAAAGCUCGUAGUUGGACCUUGGACCUGGACAGGCGGUCCGCCUCACGGCGUGUACUGUCUUGCUGGGUCUUUCCUCUUGGUGAUCUGUUGUUUCGGCAGCAGGGAACCAGGACUUUUACUUUGAAAAAAUUAGAGUGUUCAAAGCAGGCUCGACGCCGGAAUAUAUUAGCAUGGAAUAAUAAAAUAGGACGUGCGGUUCUAUUUUGUUGGUUUUUGGAAUCGCCGUAAUGAUUAAUAGGGACAGUCGGGGGCAUUAGUACUCACAUGCUAGAGGUGAAAUUCUUGGAUUUUGUGAAGACUAACUUCUGCGAAAGCAUUUGCCAAGGAUGUUUUCAUUAA
rnacentral:rRNA from 1 species